CCCUCGCCGCUCUCGCCCUCGCAUCGCUCGCAUCCCUCGCCCGGGCGAGCGGCGGGCCCGUCGGCCGAGCAGUCAAACCCGGCGCUGCUGAGGGGGAACCGCGCCCAGGCUGAGGAAAUUAACUCAAAGGCAGUUUGAGAGCUGGUUUCUUUGGUGGGUCAGUCACAUUCCUCCUGUUUGUGCAGGUACUGAAUCCUCUCAACAUUACUAACCCUGCACAGGAUAUCUAGUUGUUGUCCUACUCAGCUUCCUGACUCAGCUUUUGGCAUAACGGAGGAAGUGAGACUGUGUCAGACUUGGUUUGAAGUCGUUUAAGCUGUUGUCAAACUACUUUCAAAACUGCUAAUUUUCAGCCAGUUCCCUGGUCCAGCUCCCACUGAGGAACCUGCAACACUAGUUUAAAGCUCAUAGUCACUGUAACUGAAGUAUGACUGUAAGGGAUGUGAGCAGUUUUGCCUCUCAUCUCUCAAAAUGCUCUUUAUAUCUCAAUAUAUAUGCCUCCCCAAUUUUUUUUAACCUAUAGACAAAGCAAUUAGCUUCCUUUCAAUCCUUCCUGGUGUGGCACAGUUUUAAAUCUCUUAAGAUGCUUAUGUCUUCUCCUUGUGUUGUCUCAAAAUUAUUCACAUCUUUUUUUUUUAACUGUAGCACCCAAGACUGGACUUCACUAAAAUUAAGGCCUCAGCAAUGGCAGCAUCUGCUGUCCUGCCUGUCACAGCCCCCAUUCCUGUUUACACACACCAAUACAAGUGCUCUUGAGUCACUGAUCUAUUGACAACCUUGCUGACCUGUUUUACCCUCGCAUCCAUUUCUGCUGACCUCCCAAGCUAGGUAUUUCUCCCUCAAGUAGACAGUAAUGCUGCUUGAGAAAUCAUUUCCUGCAACAGCCCUAAUGCUAUGCCUUCAUUUUUAUUUUAUAAUCAAGCAGUCAAGACAUCUUUUAAAAUGAAAUUCCACGUGAUGUUAAGUCAGAGAACUGUAGAAUUUGUCAUCCUCUGUAAAUCGAUUGCACUUCUCGGAAGAAUUGUAUUUUAAAAAGCAAAACUAAGAUUGAACUGUGCCAUAGUUACAGAAGGGUUGUGCAACUCUAAAUUUACAAGAGUGAUUUGUACAUAUUUGUAGAUAUUUAAAACUUUAAAUUUGCCUAGACCAAACCCGCUAAAAUAAUCUAAAUGCAAACAAGGGUGGGUAACAAGGAAUGUGGGUCAGAGUUAUACCGAUAUAAGGUAAAAUAUGGCAAAAACAGUAAUGUGUAUUAAUGAGGAACAGAACCUGUAUUUGUAUAUGUUUUGCUGUUCCAUGUGCUCAGUUCUGUUAGCUCAGAAUUCCUCAGUUCUGUUCACUGUCCUGUGUGCUGCUUUUGACGUGGACAGUGCAAUGAGCAGCCAUAAACUUACUGGCAGCGCACUCUGCAGAAGGGAGGUUCUAGCACAGCCUGAUGGCUACACUGGCACUUUAGGUGCAGUUGAGCAAGUCAUUUUACAUGAUUGCACUUCAGUUUUCGUAGUAUGAGAUGAAUCCAUCUUUGUAAAACACCAAAAAUCUAAAACUGAAGCCUGUGAUGUGGGUAUCCAUUAAAAUAACUGCCAUAGAAGGGAUAAAAAUCUACAGUGCUGUCCAAGUCCGCUGUCCAAGUCCACUGUCCAGUGCACACAGAUGUUUUUUACUCUUCAUUCUGACAGAAUAUCUACAGAAUUAGUUUUUCAGCACAGCUGAACAAGCUGGCAAAUAAUGCAUUCAGCUAAUUCAUUUCUUAGAUGGUCAUCAUGUGGUCUCUCUGGUCCAUUUUGGCUGUGUAAAGCAUUUUUAUGAUGUGUUUUAUAUCAGGUGAUGUUUGGACAGUAACAAUUCAAGAAAAAAUACAGGCUUUAGCAGGGAAUAAACAGAAAUCUUACCUUUUCUUUAUCAUGUGGCCAUCAGAUUUUACACAGUAGGCUUCCCAUUUAUCUCCUGGUCGCUUUCUUUUUUCUACUUUAAUUUGUGAAGUCCUCAUCUGUGAUGAAAUUUCAGAGCACAACAUAAGGGAUGAAUGUAAAACUGCUGAUGUUUCAAAGGGGUACUGUUACUUGUCCUUCUCCUAUUCUCUGUUUACCUGUAUUUUGUAAAAAUUGCUACUUUGAAAAUGAUUAUGUGAAUCCCAAGCAGAGAUGGAGAAGAACUGAGUCCUACAGGUUUUUUACAUCUGUUUUACAGUAGAUGUGUAUCUGUACAUGUUUACAUAUGUGUUUGUAUAAAUAUAUGUAAUACCAAUUUGCAAGAAUAAAAAUUACAUUUCCUCUGAUUAAAGUUCACAUGACCAACAUCUCCCAUACAAGUGUGUGGGCAUAUAUAUGAAAAUAAGUGCAGAUUCAGUACAUGCAGCACUGGAGAUCUACAAGCAAUAAUAAAUCCUUUUGAUCCGUGUUUUUCCAUUGCCAUCAAAGGUACAAGACAAACAUAUUCUUUUUAAAACUUAAACUGCCCCACUCUCCUACAAAAGGGCUUUUUAAAAAUAGCUGGAAAGGAAUUUUCAGGGCCAGCUCCUCACCAGUUCAGCUCUGCUUUUUAGCACCCAGACAGUUGGAACAGCAGUCAAGAGCCCUCCAGAACAGAGAUUUUUGUACCAGUGACUCAGAUUUGUGCCACUUCACGUUUUUUUGUGUGACUGGAGUUCCACUAUAGACCAUCUGUUAUGGCCACCCAGGCAGGAAUACAGGAGCUUUCAUCCACAUUGGCAUUCUGCUCUUUGCAGAGCAGCUUAUCAAACAGGAUUGCUGCAGAGAUACCACUGUGGAAGUCCUGCUGUAUUGAGUGAUAAACAUAAAUGGAUCUAGCUGGAGCUUGUUUCACCUGGCACAUGUGACAUCUAUUUGUCUGCAGGAAGGGUCAUGUAAUGCUCCAUAAAGGAUCUCCUAUAUGUCAAAAGAAGCAUUAUCAGGGUACCAUGGGAUUAGUCCAGAUAUUCCCUGUUCCAAUACUAGGAAGCAAGAAAAGACUUGAUCUCCCCAGAGAACUAAUUAUUCAGACCAUCAGGAAAAA